rnacentral:rRNA from 1 species
CUUCAUGAUUCAGACCUUGGUGAGUGGCGACGGGUGAGUAACCACGUGGGUAACCUGCCCAGAAUGGGGGAUAACAUUUGGAAACAAGUGCUAAUACCGCAUAACAACUUAGAUCACAUGUAAUCUUUGUUUAAAAGAUGGUUUUGCUAUCUCUUCUCGGGUGGACCCGCGGCGUAUUAGCUAGUUGGUGAGGUAAUAGCUCACCAAGGCGAUGAUACGUAGCCGACCCUGAGAGGGUAAUCGGCCACAUUGGGACUGAGACACGGCCCCAAACUCC